rnacentral:tRNA from 1 species
GACCCCGUAGCUCAGCGGAUAGAGCGUCGCGCUCCGGACGCGAAGGUCGGUGGUUCGAGUCCACUCGGGGUCG